GAUCAUUGAUAUUUGAGUUGCUUUACUAUCAGUACAUACCAGUUUUACAACUAUUUUGAGAUCCUGCCCUUUUUAGGACAUUGUCCAGUGACUUGAAAAGAUUUUGCAAUUUAAAUGCUAAGUUUUCUGCUUAAGUAAGAUUGAUAUGAACAACUUACAAUAGACAAUGAUUUUUCUUUAAAUAACAUACCUGUUUAUACAGCUCAGUUUUGUCGACCAC
rnacentral:lncRNA from 1 species